GGCAUGUAUACCUUGGAGUCUCCACGUACAACUAGCUCACUAAUACCUAGUCUGAUAGGAAGUACUUGGAUCUGCACACAAAAAUGUGCAGAAGUGUAGUAUGAGCACACUACAGCAGUGCCCAGCAAGUGUCAAGCCUAACCUCGGUUGAGUAGUGACGAGGUCAAGUCAGGGCCCUACUGGAAAAAUAAUAAAAGACAAGGCAAUAAGUUCAACAAUAUGAUAAUAGUAAUGACAAAUGGAAACAAGUCACAUAAGGAACAUAUCAAAAUUUAACAACACGGAAUAAGAUCAAUUAAUAAUAACUUACUAAAGAGAAAGCUUUAAUUUAAUAAAUAAAAAUGAUAGAAUAACUAGAAAGUAAAUGCAACCAUAAAGAAAUAUCAACAGGGGAACUUUCGAGGUACCGCCUCGUAGUCCCAAAUCAUAAAUAAAUUCACAACAUCCCAUUUCCUUAUAUCAUCGCGGAAGCCUUCACAUUUAAUUUUUUUAAAAAAAUAUAUUUUUCCGAAAUAGCGUCCCGCGUUUUAGCCACCCUUAUCUCACCGCAUGACUUCUAGUAGUUCCCCUACUAGCCACGCGUAUCAAGCCACCCUUAUCUCACCAUAUGUGUUUCAAUACCCAGACCUUAUAUCGCCGCAUGCGUAUUAAUAUCACAAUUUGUACCUCAAAUGGUCAAAUAUUUCUACUUACCAAAAUAAAUUAACAACAACUAUAUUUUCCACAAUAAGGAGCUAGCGGCUCAAUCACAAUGAAUAUAAAAAUUUCAACAAAUAAUGAUUUCCCAAAUUUAGCACCUUGAUUCCAUACCCAUUUUUAAAAUGCCAAAUACUUCAUAUAAAAAAAUAAUUAAAUUAAGAAAACACAACCUUCAAAUAAUGAGCACAAAUAAAAGAAAUAAAGCUUCAAUUUAACAGAUAGGCAAUUAGCAAGAAAAGGUCAGACAAGUUUCACUUAUAUGAAAAUAAUUUAAUGACAAUGAAUAAAACAUGAAUAAAUGAUUUAAUUAAUAUGCAACAGUGAUCUACACAAAUUAAAAGUAUAACCUUCCACAUUUAGUCUGUGUACGCACUCGUCACCUUAUGUACACGACUUUCAUUUAGCACAUUAAUACCAAUCCUAGGGGAAAGUCCCUCACACAAGGUUAGACAAGUCACUUACCUCAAGUCACGCUAACUCAAUCCACUAGUAGGUCUUUCCCUCGAUUAUCCAACUCUGAACGACUCGAAUCUAGCCAAAAUAAUUUCAUACUAUAAAUACAACUAUAGGAAAUUAAUUUGAACAAUAAAUUUAUGAUCUUUAUGAAGAAAUAAUAAUAAUUCAACCCAAGCCCACGCCUCGGAACCCGACUAAAAAUUUGCAAAAAUUCGAACAUCCAAUUACGUGUUGACUUGCCCCUCCAGUUUCAAUUUACUCCAGGUCAUUUUAAUACCCCAAACAAACCAAGCUCAAGCUCACACUAUUAUGGAUACUAUACUAUAAUAUGCAAAUUAAUAAAGAAACCCAUUUUAACAAACAUGCCAAGCAUCCAAAGUUGAUGACAAUAGCUCUUUAGGAUACCGAGAUACUAAAUUCACUAUUGCUAAGUUCUAGCCUCUAGGACUUAAAGGAAUAAAGAGAAUUCAACUCCAAUAGUAGUCUACAGCCAACUUCACAUCAACUUUAAUAGAUUAGAAAAAAGCAAAAUAGUGAUAAAUUAACUUUACAGCAAAUAUGUUGAAUCCGUUUUACUUGAAGAUUGAAAAAGGACGAUUGAGGAGGACUUUUAGCUCAUAUAAUCCAUGUUCCAACCAAAAAAUAAAAUAAAAUAAGUAAACACAUGGAAAAUAUUAUUUUUUUAAUAGCUUUAAAAUAAUAAAGAAUCGUAUGAAUAUCCACUCCCUAUUUGACUAAAAACCAAACCAAAUGCAAAUCCAGUGCAAAAUAAGUUCACUCAAUCCUAAAAUAAAUCCAUAAAUAAAUAUAUGAGAUGCUGAAAAUAGUGAACAAAAUUCUAAGGAAACUAAACAAAUCUCAACAAUUAUUGUAACUUUAAUCCAUCUUUUAAUGGCUCUCCUGAGACUAGAUUUACUCCAAAUAUGAUUAAAUGAAGAAGAAGAAAAAGGAAUUGAACAUGCUAACCCAAAAUUGUCUUUAACACCAAUAGAAU
rnacentral:lncRNA from 1 species